GUCUGGGAAGUCUGGGUGUUGCAGUCGAGAUAUAUCUGGAAGGCACAAGGUUGGGGAAGGUUGCUCUAGAGAGAUGUAGGGUGACU